GCCGAAGUGGCGGAAUUGGUAGACGCGCUAGGUUCAGGGUCUAGUAGGAGUAUUCCUGUGGAAGUUCGAGUCUUCUCUUCGGCACCA
rnacentral:tRNA from 1 species